CCCAAAUUAAUAAAACAUGUUUUAAAUUAAAUAGCCAUUUAAUUUAAGGGUAAACUGCAAUUUAGUCCUCUGAUUUAGUGAAAUACAACGUUUCGUCCCUCUAUUUUAAAAAACCUUCAAUUUAGUCAUUGAUUUUUAAAAACUAUACCAAUGGUCCCUCCUGUUAGAUUUUCAGUUAAAUCACCGUUAAUUUUAAUUAAAAGACUAAAAUACCCAUAACAGCUUCUUCACUCCUAACCUCACCUGCUUCCUCCCAAAUGGCCACUUCGUCAUUCAGGUCCACCACCAAGCGAACCCCAUUGCGAAAUCCUCUGCUUCGUCCACUGAUGACUCCUCUUCUUCCAAUCGAUUGUUUUCUGCUUGUGUUUUUAAUUCUCCACAUGUCAAUAUCCGGUGUACUUUGGCGUAUUGCAAAAGAGCUAUGUCGUGGACGAGAGCGACGAGGAAAUUGAGGAUAAGGAAGGUCCACAAGCAGAGCCUGAAGAGGAAGAAGAGGAGGAUGAGAUAAUCGAAUCGGAUAUAGAGAUUGAGAGCGAGACUGUCGAGCCUGAUAAUGAUCCCCCUCAGAAGGUCUUGUUUGGGAAUUUACAUCGUUUAUGCGUUUAAUUUUGCUUGGUUCGUGGAAUUUUAUAAUUAUUUGCGUUUUCGUAUGGCAUUGGCUGUUUGCAGAUGGGUGACCCGUCAGUGGAAGUCACAGAGGAGAACAUCGAGGCCUCACAGGAGGCAAAGUUCAAAGCCAUGGGGGCCAUAUCUGAAGGUAUUAGAAUGAAUGUGUGAGUAGAUGGUGUUAUAUGGCUUGAUAUGAAGAAACCCAAUGCUGCCAUCCGGGAUGCCAAUGCUGCUCUUAAGGUUGUUGCUUUCAUUAGCUUAUUUGCACAGCUGCUUGCAUGAAAUCAAACACAGAAGAAAAAGAAGAAGAAGGAGGAGGAGGAGGAGGAGGAGGAGGAGGAGGAGGAGAUCGGGAAGGAGAAGAAGAAGAAGAAGAAGAAGAAGAAGGAGAUCGGGAAGGAGAAGAAGAAGAAGAAGAAGAAGAAGAAGAAGGAGAAGAAGGAGAUCGGAAAGGAGAAGAAGAAGAAGAGGAAGGAGAGAGAAUGAAUAUUUUAGUAUUUUUAACUAAAACUAACGAUGAUUUAAUUGAAAAUCUAACGGAAGGGACUAAUGGCAUGGUUUUUAAAAAUCACAGUGACUAAAUUGAAGGUUUUUUAAAAUAGAGGGAUGAAAUGUUACAUUUUACUAAAUUAAAAGGACUAAAUUGCAGUUUAUCCUUAAUUUAAAGACUGAAAAUAAAUUUUAAAUUUAUUUUCUGCCCAAAAAGGACUAUUUUGAAUAUUUUUCAAAAUUGCAGGGACCCAAUCGUAAUUUGGCAAACACAUCUUCUUCCCUGGGGAAGCCCUAGCUGCCGCAUGAAGGUUUCAGCACACCCGUCGUCCAGUCCAGCCACUGGAGGGACACGCAACACUUGUGUCCCCGCCGGUGCCCCGUUCACCGCCAAUCGAGCACAAGAUCGACGGCAUCGCAAAGGAAACCGCGAUCUCCCGCAAAGAAUAGUAGCUUCAGCUUGCAACGUCGUGUCAGCCGAUAACCUUCAGCUCCCACCGUCGUUCGUCGACCUGCAGAUCGCAUAACAGUUACGCGUCCGCUGCCGACCGAAAACAACGCCAGAGAGUCCUUCAUCUUCUUCAUCGACGAGAAUCGACAAGGAGAACGUUUUCUCUUCUCGAUUCCACCAGCGACCAGCGCCUCGGUUCCAGCUUCCCCGCGAUGUCGAGGAUGCCCGAUGACGAUCUCAACUGCCAGAGAUGCUGCAGUGCAUCACUGUGACGCCAGUUGUCGGACUGUCGGCCUGUCGCCGAGCGUUCUCGAAAGGAGCUGCUACCAGCGAGACAGCCGGGCACUCCUUUCGUCCGCCAUCUGCAAUGAUGUCCGAUCGUGAUUCUUUCCAAGCGACGUUGAACUUCCGCCGCACGUGGUUGACCACGUCCGACCAGGACUUGGCAAUGAUUGGACGAGACGAUGGAAGGAGCGUUUCACGCCCUCCAUGUCCACCUAUUAGCCUCGUCAACUGUUUUUCGUUGCAAAUUUAUCCUUUUUUAUCUAAUUUUUC
rnacentral:lncRNA from 1 species